rnacentral:rRNA from 1 species
CCUACGGGAGACAGCAGUGAGGAAUAUUGGUCAAUGGCCGCAGGGCUGAACCAGCCAAGUCGCGUGAGGGAUGACGGUCCUAUGGAUUGUAAACCUCUUUUGUCAGGGAGCAAAGGGCGCCACGUGUGGCGCUUUGCGAGUACCUGAAGAAAAAGCAUCGGCUAACUCCGUGCCAGCAGCCGCGGUAAUACGGAGGAUGCGAGCGUUAUCCGGAUUUAUUGGGUUUAAAGGGUGCGCAGGCGGAAUGUCAAGUCAGCGGUAAAAUUUCGGGGCUCACACCCGUCGUGCCGUUGAAACUGGCGUUCUUGAGUGAGCGAGAAGUAUGCGGAAUGCGUGGUGUAGCGGUGAAAUGCAUAGAUAUCACGCAGAACUCCGAUUGCGAAGGCAGCAUACCGGCGCUCAACUGACGCUCAUGCACGAAAGCGUGGGUAUCGAACAGGAUUAGAUACCCUAGUAGUC